rnacentral:rRNA from 1 species
AAUAUUGGGCAAUGGGCGAAAGCCUGAUCCAGCAAUGCCGCGUGUGUGAAGAAGGCCUUCGGGUUGUAAAGCACUUUCAGUGGGGAAGAAAAAUUCAGGGCUAAUACCCUUGAGAAUUGACGUUACCCAAAGAAGAAGCACCGGCUAACUCUGUGCCAGCAGCCGCGGUAAAACGUAGGUACCGAGCGUUAUCCGGAUUUACUGGGCGUAAAGCGCGUUCAGGCGGCUUAGCAAGUCGGGCAUGAAAUCUCUCGGCUCAACCGGGAGGGGCUGUCCGAAACUGCUGGGCUUGAGGGCAGUAGAGGGUGGUGGAAUUCCGGGUGUAGUGGUGAAAUGCGUAGAUAUCCGGAGGAACACCAGUGGCGAAAGCGGCCACCUGGACUGUACCUGACGCUCAAACGCGAAAGCUAGGGGAGCGAAC